rnacentral:rRNA from 1 species
CCUACGAGAGGCAGCAGUGGGGAAUAUUGGACAAUGGGGGCAACCCUGAUCCAGCCAUGCCGCGUGUGUGAAGAAGGCCCUCGGGUUGUAAAGCACUUUCAGUGAGGAAGAACGCCUGGUGGUUAAUACCCAUCAGGAAAGACAUCACUCACAGAAGAAGCACCGGCUAACUCCGUGCCAGCAGCCGCGGUAAUACGGAGGGUGCGAGCGUUAAUCGGAAUUACUGGGCGUAAAGCGCGCGUAGGUGGCUUGAUAAGCCGGUUGUGAAAGCCCCGGGCUCAACCUGGGAACGGCAUCCGGAACUGUCAAGCUAGAGUGCAGGAGAGGAAGGUAGAAUUCCCGGUGUAGCGGUGAAAUGCGUAGAGAUCGGGAGGAAUACCAGUGGCGAAGGCGGCCUUCUGGACUGACACUGACACUGAGGUGCGAAAGCGUGGGUAGCAAACAGGAUUAGAUACCCGAGUAGUC